UACGUAGGGGGCAAGCGUUGUCCGGAUUUAUUGGGCGUAAAGAGCGCGUAGGCGGCCCUGUAAGUCCGCUGUGAAAGUCAAGGGCUCAACCCUUGAAUGCCGGUGGAUACUGCAGGGCUAGAGUCCGGAAGAGGCGAGUGGAAUUCCUGGUGUAGCGGUGAAAUGCGCAGAUAUCAGGAGGAACACCGAUGGCGAAGGCAGCUCGCUGGGACGUUACUGACGCUGAGACGCGAAAGCGUGGGGAGCAAACAGG
rnacentral:rRNA from 1 species